GCCUACUUACUCACUGAAUGUGGCUAAGAUGCUCAGGAGUUUCCAGUAUACCCACCCACUUGAGAUAAGAUUCACAGACUCUUUAGUGCAGUCCUGAUUUCUGUAUUAAUGAAUUGAGAAGAUGACAUCAGGCUCUUAGCACUGCAGAGUUUUCCCUGCCAUCCUGGCUGAUGUACAGCACAAGCAGCUCUCUGUGAUGGUAAUUGACAGUGAUCUUUGUCAGCCCCACACAGGAUCAGGCAUUAAGAGAACAACCCUUGCUGGA